rnacentral:rRNA from 1 species
UACAGAGGUCCCAAGCGUUGUUCGGAUUCACUGGGCGUAAAGGGUGCGUAGGUGGCCAGGUAAGUUCGGUGUGAAAGCUCGGAGCUUAACUCCGAAAUGGCAUUGAAUACUAUCUGGCUAGAGGGUCGGAGGGGAGACUGGAAUUCUCGGUGUAGCAGUGAAAUGCGUAGAUAUCGAGAGGAACACCAGUGGCGAAGGCAGGUCUCUGGGCAUUAACUGACGCUGAGGAGCGAAAGCAUGGGGAGCGAACAGG